rnacentral:ncRNA from 1 species
CAUAGAAACAGUUUAUAUGGUGCUGUGCAUGCGCAGCUUAAUAGGGAAGUCGAUGCAAGUUCGACGCGGUCCCGCCACUGUAACGCAGAGCUGACAAUCAAGGCUUUUAUCCACUGUUAACUUAGUUAACGGGAAGGAGAUUGUCGAGUGAUGAUGCGAAGCCAGGAGACCUGCCAUAUAAGUGCUCUAUAUU